ensembl:lncRNA
AGAAAAGACAAAAGGGCAGGGUCCAGAAACAGAAUCAGGAAUUAUCAAAGCGGUCACUGAGAAGAGCGAACAAUAGGAGCACAAUGCUAAAUGGGCAGAUCAUUUCCACCAGUGCAGAACUGUGCUUUUCAUCAUUUGAGGAGUGCCAUACAUGUGAUACUCUCUGAGGGAACAGCAGUAUUGGACUUCCUGAAUGGACAGUUCUGCAGACAUCUCUCUCAUGGAAGAAGUGACUUUGCUGCACUGAACGACAUCAGACUGCGGCCACAUGUAGCCAUGUACUCAGCAUCAGAGGUGCGGGAGCUCCACUUUCCAUUCAGACAUUCCACAGCACAGCAGAUCAAGCCAGGAGGCCCAAUUUUCCUCAUUUAGUGUCCAACACUUGCUGAAAUUUCCAGGAAAUCAGUACUUAGGCAAACUGUGCCAGAGUUAC